rnacentral:rRNA from 1 species
UAGGGAAUCUUCGGCAAUGGACGGAAGUCUGACCGAGCAACGCCGCGUGAGUGAAGAAGGUUUUCGGAUCGUAAAGCUCUGUUGUUAGAGAAGAACGUUGGUAGGAGUGAAAAUCCACCAAGUGAAGGUAACUAACCAGAAAGGGAAGGCUAACUACGUGGCAACCGCCGCGGUAAUACGUAGGGCCCGAGCGUUGUCCGGAUUUAUUGGGCGUAAAGCGAGCGCAGGCGGUUCUUUAAGUCUGAAGUUAAAGGCAGUGGCUUAACCAUUGUACGCUUUGGAAACUGGAGGACUUGAGUGCAGAAGGGGGGAGUGGAAUUCCAUGUGUAGCGGUGAAAUGCGUAGAUAUAUGGAGGAACACCGGUGGCGAAAGCGGCUCUCUGGUCUGUAACUGACGCUGAGGCUCGAAAGCGUGGGGAGCAAACAGG